rnacentral:sRNA from 1 species
GCGGAGGAAAAGAAACCAACAGGGAUUGCCCUAGUAACGGCGAGUGAAGCGGCAACAGCUCAAAUUUGAAAUCUGGCUCUUUUAGGGUCCGAGUUGUAAUUUGCAGAGGGCGCUUUGGCGUUGGCAGCGGUCCAAGUUCCUUGGAACAGGACGUCACAGAGGGUGAGAAUCCCGUACGUGGUCGCUGGCCUUCGCCGUGUAAAGCCCCUUCGACGAGUCGAGUUGUUUGGGAAUGCAGCUCUAAAUGGGAGGUAAAUUUCUUCUAAAGCUAAAUACUGGCCAGAGACCGAUAGCGCACAAGUAGAGUGAUCGAAAGAUGAAAAGCACUUUGGAAAGAGAGUCAAAUAGCACGUGAAAUUGUUGAAAGGGAAGCGCUUGCAGCCAGACUUGCCUGUAGUUGCUCAUCCGGGCUUUUGCCCGGUGCACUCUUCUGCGGGCAGGCCAGCAUCAGUUUGGGCGGUUGGAUAAAGGUCUCUGUCAUGUACCUCCUUUCGGGGAGGCCUUAUAGGGGAGACGACAUGCAACCAGCCUGGACUGAGGUCCGCGCAUUUUGCUAGGAUGCUGGCGUAAUGGCUGUAAGCGGCCCGUCUUGAAACACGGACCAAGGAGUCUAACAUCUAUGCGAGUGUUUGGGUGUCAAGCCCGAGCGCGCAAUGAAAGUGAACGGAGGUGGGAACCCUUUAGGGUGCACCAUCGACCGAUCCUGAUGUCUUCGGAUGGAUUUGAGUAAGAGCAUGGCUGUUGGGACCCGAAAGAUGGUGAACUAUGCUUGAAUAGGGUGAAGCCAGAGGAAACUCUGGUGGAGGCUCGCAGCGGUUCUGACGUGCAAAUCGAUCGUCAAAUUUGGGCAUAGGGGCGAAAGACUAAUCGAACUAUCUAGUAGCUGGUUCCU